UACGAAGGGUGCAAACGUUGCUCGGAAUCAUUGGGCGUAAAGGGCGCGUAGGCGGCUUGGCAAGUGGAUGGUGAAAUCCCUCGGCUUAACCGAGGAACUGCCGUCCAAACUGCUUCGCUUGAGACCGGGAGAGGUGAGUGGAAUUCCCAGUGUAGCGGUGAAAUGCGUAGAUAUUGGGAGGAACACCAGUGGCGAAGGCGGCUCACUGGACCGGUACUGACGCUGAUGCGCGAAAGCGUGGGGAGCAAAGCGGG
rnacentral:rRNA from 1 species